AGAAUCAACGCUGGCGGCGUGCCUCAGACAUGCAAGUCGAACGCGAAAGUCCCCUUCGGGGGACAAGUAGAGUGGCGCACGGGUGAGUAACACGUAGGUAAUCUACCUUCGGAUGGGGAAUAACAACCGGAAACGGUUGCUAAUACCGCAUAAUGCAGCGGCACCUAAUGGUGACAGUUGUUAAAGCGGGGGAUCGAAAGACCUCGCGUCUGAAGAGGAGCCUGCGGCGAUUAGCUAGGUUGGUAGGGUAACGCCUACCAGGCGACGAUCC
rnacentral:rRNA from 1 species